rnacentral:tRNA from 1 species
GCCUGGGUGGCUCAGUGGUUGAGCAUCUGCCUUCGGCUCAGGUCAUGAUCCUGGAGUCCUGGGAUCGAGUCCCACGUCAGGCU